GGGGAUGUGGCUCAAGCAGUAAGUGCACUUGCCUGGCAUGCAAGGGCCCUGGGUUCGAUCCUCAGCACCACA
rnacentral:tRNA from 1 species